AAAUCGCCCCACAAAUUUUUCAACUGUAGCAGUUUUGGCCCCCCAAGGUCAAUUUUUGGUAAAAAAAAUAACACGUGGCACUUCACUUAGGGUGCCACGUCAGCGUAGACCGAAUCAAAAUUGAUCUUGGGCGCCAAAACUGCCACAUAUGCAAAACUUAGGGGGCGGUUU
rnacentral:pre_miRNA from 1 species